GUUUGAUCUUUGGCUACAUGAGGAUGGGUGAGCACCCACGCCUUCUGCGGCGUUGCAGGCGUCUGUCGUAGCUACGUUCAGCACGAGCAACAUAGGACUGACAACUGCCAUCCCAGGCUGGAUUAAGGUGGCUGCCAGGGUGAUGAAAGCUGGCUUGCAGGAGUAGCGUUCACUGCGCAGCAGAGGAGGAAUCUUCUCUUUCUAGAGACGUGUGAGUCAGUGCUGGAGGUGGGAAAACAGACAGAUGCAAUAGGAUUUGGGAAAUUCAUCGGUCACAGAUGAGAAGGGAGACUUCAAUGUGUUUUUCACAGAAAUACCCCACUUCUGUGCAACAAUCAACAUUUGAAACAUUUUGCCUCUAGGACUUAUUGCGUGGUAAAUGAUGGAGGGAUGUGAAGCAAUGGGUCAUCACUGAAAGCAGCUUCCUGCAGAGGUCUGCACCCAAGCAGAGGCCUGCCCAUAACCGAGCUGGCUCACUGGUUGCCUGGAUAUCCCCCAGAAUGCUGCCAUCAAAGUGACUUCUCUAUGUCAUCAAAGGCAGUGAAAGGCAUGGGGAUUUGAAUACAUUAUA